GCCCGUGCGGAUCAAUCGGACCGCGCACUGGACUCACAAUCCAGAGGUUGCUGGUUCGAAUCCUGCGGCGGGCG
rfam:Culex pipiens quinquefasciatus supercont3.740 genomic scaffold, whole genome shotgun sequence.